UGCGUGGGGGUAAUCGCCGCCCGGCUCGGGCGCCCGCGGAGAGGGUGCUAGGCCGUGUCCGUGAGGGCCUGACCGGUGGCCCUAUCCCGAGGCGGCCGCUUGCGGGGGUGACUGGCGGGAGGACGAGGCUGCACACAGGAGAGGACGGGGCAGCGGCUCGGCGCCGACGCCUGCCUUUGUGGUCCAGGAUGGGAUGUGUGACCCCUGGCAGCAGAGCGUCGUUUCUGGCCAUUCAGAGGUCCCUACAGGUGAAGCAGAAACAAGCCCCGGGGUCGCUGGAUAUCCUUGGUGUCUGAAAGAUGUGUCAGCAGGUCUCAGGUGAACACGGCCUUCGUAAGGUAAACCCUGCCCCCCUCUUUCAGCAGCAGCUUGCUGGGGUUUGACGGGAUUGGAGUAUGUGACAAAAAAUAAAGUUUUGUUUGGUUCUGUUUUAGACUUGUGCUUUCUUUUUGUAGAAGAGAAGAAAAAUGUUUAAAUAAAGGUUCUUUAUACUAAAAAGUUGUCAUGCUGUAAAUUGGUCAUCUGCCUUAUCUGAAUUAAGUGGGUCUUCACGUCUGACAGUUCUAGACCGUGUUUUCUUGGUCAAAUAAAAUUUUUGUGAAAACUUUACAGGUGUGGCGUUUCUAGCUGUUCACCCGUGUUCCAUUUGAAAUACUCCAUAAAGCCUGAUCGAAACCUGUCUUUUCUGCCAUACCCUGAUUCCUGCUUGGCAGGAGCAGAGGGCAGAUUUGAAUCUGCACACACAUGUGUCUUGU